GCGCUGGCUUCAGCGGCACAUGUACUAAAAUUGGAAGGAUGCAGAGAAGAUUAGUGUGGGCCCUGCACAAGGAUGACACGCACAUCGUGAAGCUUCCAUAUUUUU